AAUGCUUGUAAUCAUCCAUUUUAUGUUUCUAAUCUCUCUGAAUCAUUUUAAUUAUUUGAGAAAUAAUGAUAAAAAGCCUAACAUGUUCACCUCCAUUUCAGCUUCACGUCAAAACGACUGCGCGCGCGCAGGCGCCCUUUGUUCCCAAACUUUAAAUAUUAACCGUCGAGCAAACGCGAAUUUGACAUUGGACGAUUAAAGUUAUUUUUCCUGUGUUUGGUUGCCUCAGAGAACAAUAAACUAGCUUUAAUUGUUUUGAAAUAAAAAUAAAGUGAGAACGUUUUCCACACAAGACGACGUCUUUGGAGAUGGACACCGCUGCCGUGGCGUCCAAACUUGUCGGUAACAUCAGAGCCACGGCCAUUGGGAAUGCUGGAUACUGCGACCCGGAGAGAGAAGAGAAGAGGACUUUUACAGCUUUUAAAAUGGAGUAAGUGUCUUCGACGGACUGCCAAGAAUGAAUGUCAACCCUGAUCAUCAUCUCUACAGAUUGGUGUUGCUAGCCAGAGGCGCAGAAGGAGAGCUACGAACAGUUUGGGGAGGUGAUUCUCUCAAGUAGCCUGUCUGCAAGUCUGACCUGCUCUUCUGUUUAAAUGACAGUAUUUAAGAGAAGGGAAUUCCAAUGUAAAUGUCCCCUUGAACUAGCCCCAGGUGAGAGACUUAGUUUAAGUCCCCAAAUGAUAAAAGUCCUAGUAUAUUUUAAUUAGCCUGGAUUCUUUGUUGAGGUACUAUAUUUACUUGCAUUAAGCCAGUGUAAGAUGAGAGCACUGAUUUGUUUUUAAUUUACCUACAUUUGUUAAGGUUUGGUCCCUGAAGGACAGGUAACCCAGGUAAUAUGAUUGGGUCCAAAGGAGAACAUCAACAUUUACCUGAUUUGGUGAUAAAAACAUGAAAAGGUUUAUGUUUUUAAAAAAAGUUUUUGUUCAAAAAAGUUUCAUUGAAUUGCUUUGUGUAAUUGGGUUUGUUAAGGUUCAAAGUCUGUGUAAAUUGAAGGGAAAUGGCAUGUAAACAUAAGUCACACAAACUGACAAGUAUUAUGUGGAUGUUUUUGUCAGUGUUUUUAGCAGUUGGAAAAGUAGAAUUUAUUUCCUUGUGACUUAGAAUGAGUUGAGUCACUUUGAGUGGCAAUCCCACACAGAAUUAUCACCCAACAGUUUUAAUUUUAGAUCUGUCUCACUGUUCUGUGAUGUUAAAUGUUAAUGUUAUUCAGAGCAGGAGGCAGCUGUUGUCUACUUUUUAGUGCAGAAUGGCAAUGUUGACAAAGUUAGUAACAAGCUGCUGACAAACAUCUAGCUUUUAUAAGAGGCAGAUAUUUUCCUCUGAAGUUAGUUGAGACCAGAAUAAAAGGAGAGUGAAUAUUUGAUGCACAUCCAUCAGGUAGACACAACCAACAGGAAGUCCAGCAGAAUGAUAAUUUCACAUCAGCUGGUUGUGUAAAAUGUUGGAUAAUGUGUUGGCCAAAACAAUGUAUUAUGGCAAUUAUAUACACAUCACAGGUGUAUUGUUUCCUGUUGCUGUGUAGUUCUUUCCCCAAAUGUCUGCCAAAAAAAAGAAAGAGAAAGAAAGAAAAAAAAGACAAAAAACAAAACAAAAACAAAAAAGUAAAAAAAACAAAACAAAACAAAACAAACCAAAAAAAAGUGGAACAUGUGACAAAAGUAGUCAG